rnacentral:rRNA from 1 species
UACGUAGGGCGCAAGCGUUAUCCGGAAUUAUUGGGCGUAAAGAGCUCGUAGGCGGUUUGUCGCGUCUGCCGUGAAAGUCCGGGGCUCAACUCCGGAUCUGCGGUGGGUACGGGCAGACUAGAGUGAUGUAGGGGAGACUGGAAUUCCUGGUGUAGCGGUGAAAUGCGUAGAGAUCAGGAGGAACACCCGGUGGCGAAGGCGGCUCC